ACAGCGACAGGCUUGCUCCUUCCUGUCAGCACUGCGCUCCCUCUCUAGGUCAGGUGUAUAAUAGGUCAAGGUUGGGUGCCAGGAAUCAUGGCUGGGUGCACCAACCACUCACUGUCCCUAAAGAGGAACUGCUUUUCUUUUCAGCUGCAAAGCCCUGGCAGGCUGUGAAAGCCAGGCCACCGUGGACCGUCUCCAGGGAAGGAGCCAAAUUUUUACAGAGCCUCCAGCUGGCUUCCUGGCCACGAGGAAGGAUUCCCUCUGGCAAGGACACCAGCUUUCUCAACAUGAUGGCCAAAGGACAACAACAGGGAGGAGGAGAAGGUGCAGAGGUCAGCAAAGGCCUCAGUGGCAUGACCAGGAUCCAGGAGCAUCACGAGAACACAACAGAGCCCUGGCAGCUGGGAAGAGUGGAGACACACCACGCCGGUCCGCAACCUGGAUUCCGUCUCAGGGCCACUCUGGGAGGCCAGUCAAUUACAGUGAGGAAACUAAGCCUGCUGAGCCCGGGAAACUUCAGGCUGGUGUGCCAAUGAGCCAUGGAGGAGGUUUUGAACUCACCUUUGCAUCUUGUUCCUGAUGCCUUCCUGUCUCUGAGCUUGUCCAAAUCUUCACAGCAGACGGGUAGUAAAGGGAGGGUAAGGACAGAUGCCUUGGCUGUGGAGGGCUUAAGGCUGCUCUCCCAACACCCACUCCCAAAUGGCUUCACCACCCUCUCCCCAGACUCUACAACUGUGGGCAGACAUGUAGACCUGGGAAGAGAAGGUGUGUGGCUGUGCCUAGUGGAGUCCUGAGCGCCUAAGGAUUCUAAACACAGUCGCCUCCAUCUAGUCCCCUGUCGCCAUUUUCUCCUUUGUUCUCACCUCCAUUCUUAUCUUAGAAACAAGGAUAAGUUUCACAGUCUCCCUCCCCUCCCAGAACAGCUCACCAAGUGGGCCCCUCAUACACUGUGGGAGGGACACAAUGUUAAACACGUGACCCCUAGCAGUACACCCAGGAGAACCGAAAACUUUAAAUCCACAGAGAAACAAGAAGCUGGGUGUUCCAGCAACACUUUCCACCCAAGAGCAGACAGAGUGUCAUGCCAGUGCCGUCCAAGGGGAGACAGUCCCAGGAACUAAUGGAAGAGUGAACAGAGCCUGUGUAUCUGUGCACCAGAAUGUCAGCCAUACCCGAAAGAGAUGAAUCUGAAUGCCUUCUGCAACUCAAAGAACCUUCCAAGCACCUAAACUAUGCACGAGGCUCAUGCCAUAUAAUUCCAUGCAUACGAGACGUGAGAGCAGGUAACCACACAAGGGCAGAGAGUAGAGUUUGGGGCCUGGGGGAGGGAGGAUGAGGUGUAGCUGCUCAAGUAUGAAUGUCUGGGGGAUACAAAAACAUCCAGGAAUUAAUGGCCGUAAUCUUAGUGAUUAUUAAUUUGUGAAUUGAUUGGUGAUUUAUAAGUGCACAACUUUGAUAGGCAUGGUGGUUUGGAUAGGUAUGGCCCCCGUAGACUCAUCUGUUGAAUGGGUUGGCAUGGGGGGAGGGUAGCACUUUUCAGAGGGGUGUCGCUGUGGAGUCGAGCUUUGAGGUCUCCUAUGCUCGAGUGUGGUACGCAGUCUCCUUCUGCUGUCUGCGAAUCAAGAUGGAGGAUUUAGGCUCCUCAAGCAACAUGUCUGCCUGUAUGCUGCUGUGCUUCCAACCCCUGAAACUAAACCCCUGAGACUGUAAGCCCAAUUAAAGUUUUCCCUUAUAA